UGACUUGAUUGCCGGAUCUGUACCAGU
rnacentral:piRNA from 1 species